rnacentral:rRNA from 1 species
UUCCAGACUCCUACGGGAGGCAGCAGUGGGGAAUAUUGCACAAUGGGGGAAACCCUGAUGCAGCGACGCCGCGUGAGCGAUGAAGUAUUUCGGUAUGUAAAGCUCUAUCAGCAGGGAAGAAGAUGACGGUACCUGACUAAGAAGCCCCGGCUAACUACGUGCCAACAGCCGCGGUAAUACAUAGGGGGCAAGCGUUAUCCGGAUUUACUGGGUGUAAAGGGAGCGUAGACGGCGAUGCAAGCCAGAUGUGAAAGCCCGGGGCUCAACCCCGGGACUGCAUUUGGAACUGUGUGGCUGGAGUGUCGGAGAGGCAGGCGGAAUUCCUAGUGUAGCGGUGAAAUGCGUAGAUAUUAGGAGGAACACCAGUGGCGAAGGCGGCCUGCUGGACGAUGACUGACGUUGAGGCUCGAGAGCGUGGGGAGCAAACAGGAUUAGAUACCCCUGUAU